GGUUAAGCGACUAAGCGUACACGGUGGAUGCCCUGGCAGUCAGAGGCGAUGAAGGACGUGCUAAUCUGCGAAAAGCGUCGGUAAGGUGAUAUGAACCGUUAUAACCGGCGAUGUCCGAAUGGGGAAACCCAGUGUGAUUCGUCACACUAUCGUUAACUGAAUACAUAGGUUAACGAGGCGAACCGGGGGAACUGAAACAUCUAAGUACCCCGAGGAAAAGAAAUCAACCGAGAUUCCCCCAGUAGCGGCGAGCGAACGGGGAGCAGCCCAGAGUCUGAAUCAGCUUGUGUGUUAGUGGAACGGUCUGGAAAGUCCGACGGUACAGGGUGAUAGUCCCGUACACCAAAAUGCACAGGUUGUGAACUCGAAGAGUAGGGCGGGACACGUGGUAUCCUGUCUGAAUAUGGGGGGACCAUCCUCCAAGGCUAAAUACUCCUGACUGACCGAUAGUGAACCAGUACCGUGAGGGAAAGGCGAAAAGAACCCCGGCGAGGGGAGUGAAAAAGAACCUGAAACCGUGUACGUACAAGCAGUGGGAGCACCUUCGGGUGUGACUGCGUACCUUUUGUAUAAUGGGUCAGCGACUUAUAUUCUGUAGCAAGGUUAACCGUAUAGGGGAGCCGCAGGGAAACCGAGUCUUAACUGGGCGUUAAGUUGCAGGGUAUAGACCCGAAACCCGGUGAUCUAGCCAUGGGCAGGUUGAAGGUUGGGUAACACUAACUGGAGGACCGAACCGACUAAUGUUGAAAAAUUAGCGGAUGACUUGUGGCUGGGGGUGAAAGGCCAAUCAAACCGGGAGAUAGCUGGUUCUCCCCGAAAGCUAUUUAGGUAGCGCCUCGUGAACUCAUCUUCGGGGGUAGAGCACUGUUUCGGCUAGGGGGUCAUCCCGACUUACCAACCCGAUGCAAACUACGAAUACCGAAGAAUGUUAUCACGGGAGACACACGGCGGGUGCUAACGUCCGUCGUGAAGAGGGAAACAACCCAGACCGCCAGCUAAGGUCCCAAAGUCAUGGUUAAGUGGGAAACGAUGUGGGAAGGCACAGACAGCCAGGAUGUUGGCUUAGAAGCAGCCAUCAUUUAAAGAAAGCGUAAUAGCUCACUGGUCGAGUCGGCCUGCGCGGAAGAUGUAACGGGGCUAAACCAUGCACCGAAGCUGCGGCAGCGACACUAUGUGUUGUUGGGUAGGGGAGCGUUCUGUAAGCCUGCGAAGGUGUGCUGUGAGGCAUGCUGGAGGUAUCAGAAGUGCGAAUGCUGACAUAAGUAACGAUAAAGCGGGUGAAAAGCCCGCUCGCCGGAAGACCAAGGGUUCCUGUCCAACGUUAAUCGGGGCAGGGUGAGUCGACCCCUAAGGCGAGGCCGAAAGGCGUAGUCGAUGGGAAACAGGUUAAUAUUCCUGUACUUGGUGUUACUGCGAAGGGGGGACGGAGAAGGCUAUGUUAGCCGGGCGACGGUUGUCCCGGUUUAAGCAUGUAGGCUGAUUGUCCAGGCAAAUCCGGAUAAUCAAGGCUGAGGUGUGAUGACGAGGCACUACGGUGCUGAAGUAACAAAUGCCCUGCUUCCAGGAAAAGCCUCUAAGCAUCAGGUAACAUCAAAUCGUACCCCAAACCGACACAGGUGGUCAGGUAGAGAAUACCAAGGCGCUUGAGAGAACUCGGGUGAAGGAACUAGGCAAAAUGGUGCCGUAACUUCGGGAGAAGGCACGCUGGUGUGUAGGUGAAGUCCCUGCGGAUGGAGCUGAGACCAGUCGAAGAUACCAGCUGGCUGCAACUGUUUAUUAAAAACACAGCACUGUGCAAACACGAAAGUGGACGUAUACGGUGUGACGCCUGCCCGGUGCCGGAAGGUUAAUUGAUGGGGUUAUCCGUAAGGAGAAGCUCUUGAUCGAAGCCCCGGUAAACGGCGGCCGUAACUAUAACGGUCCUAAGGUAGCGAAAUUCCUUGUCGGGUAAGUUCCGACCUGCACGAAUGGCGUAAUGAUGGCCAGGCUGUCUCCACCCGAGACUCAGUGAAAUUGAACUCGCUGUGAAGAUGCAGUGUACCCGCGGCAAGACGGAAAGACCCCGUGAACCUUUACUAUAGCUUGACACUGAACAUUGAGCCUUGAUGUGUAGGAUAGGUGGGAGGCUUUGAAGCGUGGACGCCAGUCUGCGUGGAGCCAACCUUGAAAUACCACCCUUUAAUGUUUGAUGUUCUAACGUUGGCCCCUGACCGGGGUUGCGGACAGUGUCUGGUGGGUAGUUUGACUGGGGCGGUCUCCUCCCAAAGCGUAACGGAGGAGCACGAAGGUUAGCUAAUCCUGGUCGGACAUCAGGAGGUUAGUGCAAUGGCAUAAGCUAGCUUGACUGCGAGCGUGACGGCGCGAGCAGGUGCGAAAGCAGGUCAUAGUGAUCCGGUGGUUCUGAAUGGAAGGGCCAUCGCUCAACGGAUAAAAGGUACUCCGGGGAUAACAGGCUGAUACCGCCCAAGAGUUCAUAUCGACGGCGGUGUUUGGCACCUCGAUGUCGGCUCAUCACAUCCUGGGGCUGAAGUAGGUCCCAAGGGUAUGGCUGUUCGCCAUUUAAAGUGGUACGCGAGCUGGGUUUAGAACGUCGUGAGACAGUUCGGUCCCUAUCUGCCGUGGGCGCUGGAGAAUUGAGGGGGGCUGCUCCUAGUACGAGAGGACCGGAGUGGACGCAUCACUGGUGUUCGGGUUGUCAUGCCAAUGGCACUGCCCGGUAGCUAAAUGCGGAAGAGAUAAGUGCUGAAAGCAUCUAAGCACGAAACUUGCCCCGAGAUGAGUUCUCCCUGAGACUAUAAGUCUCCUGAAGGAACGUUAAAGACGAUGACGUUGAUAGGCCGGGUGUGUAAGCGCAGCGAUGCGUUGAGCUAACCGGUACUAAUGAACCGUGAGGCUUAACCUU
rnacentral:rRNA from 1 species